AGAGUUUGAUCAUGGCUCAGGACGAACGCUGGCGGCGUGCCUAAUACAUGCAAGUCGAGCGGACCAAUUAGAAAGCUUGCUUUUUAAUUGGUUAGCGGCGGACGGGUGAGUAACACGUGGGUAACCUGCCCUAUAGACCGGGAUAACUCGCGGAAACGCGUGCUAAUACCGGAUAACACACCGAAGCGCAUGCUUCGGGGUUGAAAGAUGGUUCUGCUAUCACUAUAGGAUGGGCCCGCGGCGCAUUAGCUAGUUGGUGGGGUAACGGCCUACCAAGGCGACGAUGCGUAGCCGACCUGAGAGGGUGAUCGGCCACACUGGGACUGAGACACGGCCCAGACUCCUACGGGAGGCAGCAGUAGGGAAUCUUCCACAAUGGGCGAAAGCCUGAUGGAGCAACGCCGCGUGAGCGAAGAAGGUCUUCGGAUCGUAAAGCUCUGUUGUAAGGGAAGAACAAGCGCAGCAGUCACUGGCUGCGCCCUGACGGUACCUUACUAGAAAGCCACGGCUAACUACGUGCCAGCAGCCGCGGUAAUACGUAGGUGGCAAGCGUUGUCCGGAAUUAUUGGGCGUAAAGCGCGCGCAGGCGGUCUCUUAAGUCUGAUGUGAAAGCCCCCGGCUCAACCGGGGAGGGUCAUUGGAAACUGGGAGACUUGAGUGCAGGAGAGGGAAGUGGAAUUCCAUGUGUAGCGGUGAAAUGCGUAGAGAUAUGGAGGAACACCAGUGGCGAAGGCGGCUUCCUGGCCUGUAACUGACGCUGAGGCGCGAAAGCGUGGGGAGCAAACAGGAUUAGAUACCCUGGUAGUCCACGCCGUAAACGAUGAGUGCUAGGUGUUAGGGGGUUUCCGCCCCUUAGUGCUGCAGCUAACGCAUUAAGCACUCCGCCU
rnacentral:rRNA from 1 species